UGACUUCUGAGAUGAACCGAAUCGAGGUUUAGGGUUUGGAAAAAAAAAACUAUCAAUUAUCGCCCGCCGAGUUCUCUGCGUUACUCCACUCAGAUCAAAUGGCUUCGAGCAAUUCCCCAUCUGCCCAUGAGAAAGAACAGAUAUUUGGGAUGGCAGAGAAAGAGAUGGAAUACAGGGUGGAUUUGUUCAACAAGCUUACGCACACGUGUUUCAACAAGUGCAUUGAGAACAAGUACAAGGAAUCUGAGUUAAACAUGGGUGAAAACAGUUACAUUGACCGUUGUGUGUCAAAAUAUUGGCAGGUGA